ensembl:lncRNA
GGGCAGCGCCGCGCCGCUUUGUGUCGCUCCGGAGGGCGGGCGUCGCGCCACAGGUGGCGGGGCCGCCAGGGAAUUUCCAUGCGAUUCUCAUAUGACCUCCUGCUCACUGUGCUCCGGCUGUAAUGGAUGGGCGUUUGUGGUCUGGUACCAGGAAGGGUUCAUCCAACUGUGAAAUUUCAGAAAUCCUACACCAAAGUAUUUUAAACUGGCAAAUACAGCCAAGGAAACACACCGUGGCUUUUGUUUUGAGAUCUUGUGCACCCACGGUGGUGCAGGACAUCCUCCAGCAUACGGUUCCCUGCUUGUUCUCCUGGAGAAGCUCACGCAACCUCAGUCCCAGAGGCAGCACCUAAAGUUGACAUAAAAACUGGAAUACACUGACAAACAUAGAAUGCACCAUGUUCAGUUGUAACAGAACAGCUCUAUCCAUGCUUUCUUUGCCUCAGUACCCCUUUCCAGCUCACCUUCUCUUGUUGUGAAGACCAGAUGAGCUCCUUGAGAACCAAGACAGAGCCAGGAACAGGAUAUUGACACCCGGAGAGCAACUGAAACCUUAAUGAGAAAACCUAUUGUGUUGUAUACGGCCUGCCUUCCUGCAAGGUGCUGCACACGGGACCUUCUUGUCUUCUCGUUGUGUGCCCUCAUGGACGUACCUUCAUCAUCAUUCGUUAUAGAGAAGACGUAAGUUUGAAAGGGUUUACCACCACAGUUUCGAGUUAAUCUUCCUCUUUUGAAUGGAACAAUGGGAUUAGAAACCCAGAAAUAAGGAAAUUUAUGGAAGGGCUUGAAGCUCCUGGAAACUUCCAGCUCGGUAAGUGCUCCCAAACAGCUGGGUUUGUUCUAACACGCAGACACACCAACACACCCUGAGACGGCUGGUUGUGAACUUUCUCUAGGUUGCGUUUCCGUUCCUUGCUGCCCCUUCCUGCAGCGAUAUUGUUGGGUGUUUUCUUUGUUGCCCUCAGUCGGUAUCAGCAAAACUCCAGUGACUGUAACUGAUAUUUGAAAAUUCUCCCUGUGUCAUGCGAAGACUUACCGUGCUGAAAUCAAUAAGACUGUUUAAAAUUCAAAGACCUGCAAAUCGUUCUGUUUGUCCUUUGAUAGGGCCUGGGCUGAUUAAAAUGCGACCAAGAAAGCUUAAUUGCUGCACUAAUUAAGAAGUCUUUAAUUUCUUUCCUGGAAUAUUGUUUGAAGCUGGGUUUCUGCUCUGCACAUAGCACUGUUCAGGGCAGGGAUUCGCUCUGCUUCUCUGUCUCUUUUUUUCUUUUGACAAUUUCAGUAUAAUAAAAUGUAUGUUAAAGCAGUAAGAUGUAUUGACAAUGAUUGUAAUUUAUUACUCAAAAAAAAAAAAAAAAGAAGACUGAUACAGGGUUCACUAUUGUAUUAAAUUACAAUUUUGAGGGCAGCUGUAAAGGGUGAAAUGAAAUUAGAAAAUGCAUUGUAGUUGUUGCGUUUCAAGGAAUCUGAGUACCUGACUGACAGGAGGUCGGGCAGCACACCAGUACCUCCCGUUUCUUCUCUUAGUAUUGAUAAUUAAAGAUUUUAAUUCAUUCAGGGAAAAAGGAAAAAAAAGAAAAAGAAAAGAGAGAUACAUGUGUGCUGAGUGAAUGUGAAGGAAUGGACGGGGGGAUGCGCAGCGGACAGGCACAUGGUGGGGAUGAAUUGUGCAUCAUCACAUUAACUUCGUGUACAAUAUUUUUCCCUGCAUUUCUUUUGACUUCAUUCCUCCAAAAAAAAAAAAAAAAGCAUUUCUCUCUUGUGUCUUGUCUUAUGCUUUUCAGUGACUUGUUUUGUUCCCCAGUUUCCAAAGAGAAGAAACUCCAUCAUUUCACAAAGCUUUCUGCGUGAUCAAUAGAGUCACGCUUUAGGUUUAAUCGUGCUGCAUUACAACUCAGGCAAGCAACUGCUGAGCAGGAGGCUCAGACAGGAACAGGCACUGCGAGGAGAAGGAGUGCCAAGGGUGUCCCCUCCUCCCAGCCCAGCCUGGACGAAACAGGGCUAUGCGUGCUGCCAACCGUGCCUAAAGGAGCUCAGGGGUAACCUGGCACGCACCGCUCUUUGGACAGCUUUCAGCUGCUGUUCUCGUGGGCUCUGCGGAUGUUUUGUAUUGCACUACCGAAGCGACACCUGAGGGGUAACGCGGGGUGGUGCUUUGCGAGCUCCUGAAUUUAACAAUAAUAACAAUUUCAAAAAGAAGUGCUUUGCCUGUCUGGUUCCUGCGCGUUCAGAGACCUAACUCAGCUCAGCUGCAGUAAAGCGAAGAGACAUAAAAGGAGGCCGUACACGCAGACCAAGUCCGUCACGCUGAAGCAGCAGUUGUUGCCCCCGGCCCUCCCCUGCGACUGGAUGCAACGUGGGAUAGCGUUGCUCAGAGAAACUUAACCAGACGCGCAGCGCCCACUAGCGCCCGUGCAGCCGG